CUUCAAGCAGUCACCGCACACAACCCUAUUAAACAGCAAGUAGAGUCACCCCGAUAUAUAAUGGGAUAGAAGAAAUUAAGAGAGGCACAGCUGGAGGAAAGAGGCUUCCACUCUCUACCUUCAUCUGAUGAAGUUAUAUGCACCGUCUGCCACCCAAUUUCAGCUCCAAUGACUCGAGGGCGCAUGGGAGAGCAUGAAAACUACAAGGCGCACCGAAACGGGAUUUCCGAACGGGCCAGAGACCAUGCACAAGCCACAUGGGCGUAUGACCAAACGAAAACGCUUGGAUGAAUAUGUAUACGAAAGCGGUGAAAGCGAGGAGGGAGAUAACAGGUGUGAUAAUAGCUCAGAAGGCGAUAAAGAAUCCGAUGAUACAGAUGAGGGGGCGCUGGAAGAGGAAGUAGAUAGCGAUAUUGAUGAUAUAAUAGAAUACAAAGGUUUUAUGUAACGAUCGCAUAGUUUGUAUACCUGUAUACGUGUAUAUAGUAGUACAGCAAAUAGUCCUCAAGGUAUAUCUUAUAUAGAUGUCACGUAUGGUGGAUUUGUUGAGAUGUUUGUGCAUGCAUGCAUGGAUGGA
rnacentral:sRNA from 1 species